rnacentral:lncRNA from 1 species
UUUUUUUAAAGUUUUAGUUUCAUUUGUAAACCUGGGAAUGUUUGCUGUUGAUGUCAUGGUAACGAGUGACCGUUCAACAUUUUACUGGCGUCUUUCAGACAAACAACAACACACUGUAAGACACAAAUAAGUGAACAAGGAGUGAACAACAUCAGGGAGAAAAAAAGAUGACAGCAGUGGAGAUGGAGCAAGAGCAGAUGAGGGUGCUGCUUAAAGACAACAAUGCUGAGCUGAUGGAGGAAGUCCUUUCUUUAAGGAAGGCUCUUCAAAAGCAGAAGGAGAAGACCCAAAAAGUCAACCUGGAGCUCCAGCUCACUGACCUCAACACCAACACAAACAUUAAUGAGAUGAAGAUGGAUUGGGGGGAUAUGAUGGAUCAGGAUGACAAGGACAAUGAAAUCCUGACUUUAAAAAAGGCAAACGAAGCCCUUAGUGAGAAGAACUUUCUACUGGAGAAGACAUUGACUGAGAAACAGGAGGAGCUGAUCAACAUGAAGGAAAAGCUCCCAGAGCACCAUGAGAGCAAACUCUCAUCAGAGAUACAAACUCUGAAAUCUGCCCUGCACGUCCAGCACACAGAAGCUGCUGAAGCUUCAAAACAGCUUCAGGACCAGGACAUGAUGAUUGAGAAGUUGAAAACUAUUGCUCAGAUAAAGAUGGCAGAAUCUAAUGCACACUGGAGCAGAAGGAUGGAGGUUCUAAAGCAGCAGGUGCAGGAUUCAGAGAAGAACAAUGUCUGUAUGGACUCCCAGGCUCAGAUAAACUACCUCCAGACACAAAUCACCUCCCUGGAAGAUCUUCUACAGAGCCAAAGCAAGCAUGUUGGGCUUUUAC